rnacentral:lncRNA from 1 species
AUGAAAAGUACAGCAUGUGGCUUUCUGUGUCUCAUGUCACAAUACAUAAUUCUCGCCUUUACUGGCUGCCUCCCGCCUCCCUCUGCUCGCAGCCUUGACGGGCGGGUGGGAGGCGCCCCUCGCGGAGCACGGAGCCCCGUUGCCAUGGAGACGUUGCGCGCGGGGUGGGGGUGGGGGCGCACACUAACGCAGCCUCUGCUCUGGACGCACCUGCACCACGUCCGCGGCCGAAGCGCGAGGGCAGCCAGGGUCCUGACCUUCUCAGAGCCUCUGGGAGGGUUUGCUUGCAGAGACUUGUCUCCUGGACCCCUUCUGAGCGCCAGUGCCCGACCUCCGGGGGUUGUGCCCCCGCCGAGCUCCCAGCCCCGUGUCGAGGCCAGCUUCGUUGAUCAUGAAGAUACUCCUCAGCACUCCCAGACGUGUCAGGACGAAAAGGUCAUCGGCUCAGAAAAAUAAAGGGGUAGAACAAGGCGGGGAACGUACGGGUCCCCUCUGAGGUGGCGAACACCCUGAAUUACACGAUCUUUCACGACUACGGCCCGUCGUCGUUGGCAUGAGGGAAUUCAUUAGAGCCACGUUUCUUGAGCCUGUGGUUUACAGAAAUGACUGCUUUUAAGCUGGCUUUCCCCUUUGCGGGGAGCUGUUCCUCCAGAAACAAUUACGCCUUGAUCCUGACUCAACUAAGCCCAGUUUAGGGACAUUAUGAUUGGCAAUCGUCGAUCAUAACUGGCUCACCAUUCGGUGUUCUUUCUCUCUUGUGCAGAGACGUCUGCACGGUCCCUCUGCAGGAAGGGGACGUGAAAAACAGCUCCACCCUUUCGAUGAAGAGGGGAGAAUUGAGGCCGUCUGCUUUUCCCAGGAGCAGGGAAGGGGAGAUGUGACGGGCAACAUCUUCUGCCCAGACACCCUUUCGGCCACCUGCGCGCUCCAAACGGCUCCCGGGGGCGCUGAGAUUUCAAGAUGGCACCUUGACCUCAGACUUGCAGCCUCCGGAACGGGGAGGAACCAGGGUCUGUUGUGUCUAUGCUGCUCAGGACGGGCUUUGUUUGCGGCCGCAGCCCGAGGGACUGAGACCUGACUACAGGGUUCGGGUUGUGUGUCCCGGGCACGGUGGGUACUUUUCGGCAGAGUCGCUUUGGACACAGUCCGUGCCCACGAUUUCCAGACGUGUCUGGUGGCCGGCUCAUCCGCAAGGAGUUGGUAGUAA